AAAAAACAAAGUUUGGCAUGAAAAUUGGGCUUUUUCCAUUGUUUUGCAAUAAAUGUAGUUGGAAAAAGACACUUAUUUGCCAGGAACAAAAAUCAUGUUACACAAUGUAAUCCUUCCAGCUGUGUUUGUGUG